GACGAACGCUGGCGGCGUGCUUAACACAUGCAAGUCGAACGGAAAGGCCCUGCUUUUGUGGGGUGCUCGAGUGGCGAACGGGUGAGUAACGCGUGAGUAACCUGCCCUUGACUUUGGGAUAACUUCAGGAAACUGGGGCUAAUACCGGAUAGGAGCUCCUGCUGCAUGGUGGGGGUUGGAAAGUUUCGGCGGUUGGGGAUGGACUCGCGGCUUAUCAGCUUGUUGGUGGGGUAGUGGCUUACCAAGGCUUUGACGGGUAGCCGGCCUGAGAGGGUGACCGGCCACAUUGGGACUGAGAUACGGCCCAGACUCCUACGGGAGGCAGCAGUGGGGAAUAUUGCACAAUGGGCGGAAGCCUGAUGCAGCAACGCCGCGUGCGGGAUGACGGCCUUCGGGUUGUAAACCGCUUUCGCCUGUGACGAAGCGUGAGUGACGGUAAUGGUAAAGAAGCACCGGCUAACUACGUG
rnacentral:rRNA from 1 species